rnacentral:rRNA from 1 species
CAGCCGCCGCGGUAAUACUCGCGGUUCAAGUCGCAGCCAUUUUUAUUGGGUCUAAAACAUCCGUAGCUUGCUUGAUAAGUUUCUUGUGAAAUCCCAUAUCUUAAAUAUGGAACGUGCAGGAAGUACUGUCAAGCUAGAGACUGGGAGACGUAAGAAGUACGAUCGAAGUAGCGGUAAAAUGUGUUAAUCUCGAUCGGACUCACAAUAGCGAAGGCAUCUUACGAGAACAGUUCUGACAGUAAGGGAUGAAGGCUAGGGGCGCAAAACGGAUUAGAUACCCGUGUAGUCCUAGCUGUUAACACAGCACACUAAACAUCGGGACCUCUUCGUGAGGUUUCGGUGCUGAAGGGAAGCCGAAGAGUGUGCUACCUGGGAAGUAUAGUCGCAAGGCCGAAACUUAAAGGAAUAGGCGGGGAGACACUACAACGAGUGACGCGUGCGGUUCAAUUAGAUUAUACACCGUGAACCUCACCAGGAGCGACAGCAGGAUGAAGGUCAGUCUGAAGGGCUUACCUGACACGCUGAGAGGAGCUGCAUGGCCGACGUCAGCCUGUGCCGUGAGGUGACCUGUUAAAUCAGGUAACAGGCAAGACCCGCAUGUAUAUUUACCAAGUGUACCAUAUACAGAUUGCUCUGGUAACAGAGAUGAAAGUUCGGGCUACGUUAGGUGAGUACAGCCCGAAUCCCCUGGGCGACACGCGCGCGUCAAUGGUGGAUACAACGGGAUGCGACACCGAAAGGUGAAGCCAAUCUCUUAAAGUCCAUCUUAGUCUAGAUCGAAGUUUGCAACUCAACUUCGUGACACUGGAAUUCGUAGUAAUCGUUUGUUAUCAACGAACGGUGAAUAUGUCACUGUCUCUUGCACUAACUGCCCGUUAAAUCAACCGAGCCUAGUUAGGCCCAAAAACUUCGCCGGAAAAUCUGCGAUGGGGAAGAAAGGUUAAGUCGUAACAAGGUAACCGUA